rnacentral:rRNA from 1 species
UACAGAGGGUGCGAGCGUUGUUCGGAAUUACUGGGCGUAAAGGGCGCGUAGGCGGACGUUUAAGUCGGGGGGUGAAAGCCCCGGCUCAGCCCGGGAAGUGCGCUCGAAACUGCGCGGCUCGAGUGCCGGAGGGGAGAGUGGAAUUCCUGGUGUAGCGGUGAAAUGCGUAGAUAUCAGGAGGAAUACCGGUGGCGAAAGCGACUCUCUGGACGGCAACUGACGCUGAGGCACGAAAGCGUGGGGAGCAAACAGG